rnacentral:tRNA from 1 species
GCCCGGAUGGCGGAAUUGGUAGACGCACGGGACUCAAAAUCCCGCGCUAGUGAUAGCGUGCCGGUUCGACCCCGGCUCCGGGCA